rnacentral:rRNA from 1 species
UACAGAGGUGGCAAGCGUUGUUCGGAAUUACUGGGCGUAAAGGGCGCGCAGGCGGCCUUCUAAGUCAGACGUGAAAUCCCCCGGCUUAACCUGGGAACUGCGUCUGAUACUGGAGGGCUUGAGUGCGGGAGAGGGAUGUGGAAUUCCAGGUGUAGCGGUGAAAUGCGUAGAUAUCGAGAGGAACACCUGCGGCGAAGGCGGGUUGCUGGGCUGACACUGACGCUGAUGCGCGAAAGCUAGGGGAGCGAACGGG